UGCCAGCAGCCGCGGUAAUACGGAGGGUGCGAGCGUUAAUCGGAAUUACUGGGCGUAAAGCGCGCGUAGGUGGCAAGGUUAGUCAGAUGUGAAAGCCCCGGGCUUAACCUGGGAAUUGCAUUUGAUACUGCUAGGCUGGAGUGUGGUAGAGGGAAGCGGAAUUCCGGGUGUAGCGGUGAAAUGCGUAGAUAUCCGGAGGAACACCAGUGGCGAAGGCGGCUUCCUGGACCAACACUGACGCUGAGGCGCGAAAGCGUGGGGAGCAAACAGGAUUAGAUA
rnacentral:rRNA from 1 species